rnacentral:lncRNA from 1 species
CACAGGACAUCACAGGACAUACGCACUGCUCAGGAAAUCAUCUGACCUGGCCCUGCAGAGCACGGGACCCAGGAAGAUUGUGUUAGAGGACCAGAGCCCGUGUGGAGCACAGGGAGGGAAACAAAGCUUGUCAGUGUCACCAACAAAAACUCAACUUCUGACAUUAAUCCUGAGUAGUUACCCAUGCCCAGACCGAUGCAGAGAUCCGACCCAACAAAACAACGUCGCAGCGUGAGCAGCCGAGAAGUGACGACACCACGGGGCGGAGGGGAACGGAGAGGAAAGCUGCUGACGCCAGGGAGAGAUGCCGCUGGGCCAGGCACGGCUGCCCGCAGGAGAGGCCUCCGCAGGGAGAGGUACCGCUGGAUCAGGCGAGCUAUUAAGGAGCCAUUUCAAGUAUUUACAGGGAAGCCUCUGGACUGGGUGAUAUCAUGUGACCAAUGGCACACAAUUCAGUGCCCAGAAUGAACAGGACACAAGAACCCUCUGUGUGUGAGUGUGGACACUUUCCUGGGGAAUGAUUUAUGGUGUCUCAUGUGAGACAGAAGCACAUCUACAUUCUAGAAGACGCAUGGCCUCGGUGGCAGGAUGCACAAAGUGUGUGCAUGAGGAGAAUAUUAGAAGCACAGAAAUUGAUUAGGAGGAUGUGGUCAAAAAGAGGGACGGAGGAACAAACCUAAGAGAAGGAGAUGCAAGUGCAGUGGAGGGAGAAGGGGCGGGGCCAAGAACACAGGUGAACACAAACACCACGGAUGCAAAGAAAACUUCCCCUCACCCCUCUCAAAGGAAAGACCAGUUCUGAUGAAUUUGGAAGCAGCAGGACAAGAAGGCCAGGACAGAAUUUCCUGAAGACCUCUACAUUUCUUACACAAAACAAGGGCACCCACUGGUUGCUGAGAUCAAAUGAGUAAAGAAGGAGGCUGCAGACUCGAGGGAUAUGGUUAAGAUAUAAAAUUCCAUUAGGGAGGAGAGACACGGAAGGAGAAUGGAGAAGUGCUUGACAAUGACAUGGAGAAGACAGUCCAGGAAACUAAUGAAGACAACGGGGAGAUGGAGGAAGGAACCAGAGAUGUUCAAAGACUAGAUCGUGGGUCAGAUGGUAAUGACUCUAACCUAAGGCAGGGAUGAUGGCAGAAAGAUGCCUUCACAGG